AUUGAACGCUGGCGGCAGGCCUAACACAUGCAAGUCGAACGAGUGGCGGACGGGUGAGUAAUGUCUGGGAAACUGCCUGCUGGAGGGGGAUCACUACUGGAAACGGUAGCUAAUACCUCCUACCAUCGUCUGUGCCCAGAUGGGAUUAGCUAGUAGGUGGGGUAAAGGCUCACCUCGGCGACGAUCCCUAGCUGGGCUGAGAGGAUGACCAGCCACAAUGGAACGGAGACACGGUCCAGACUCCGACGGGAGGCAGCAGUGGGGAAUAUUGCACAAUGGGCGCAAGCCGGAUGCAGCCAUGCCGCGUGUAUGAAGAAGGCCUGCGGGUUGUAAAGUACGUGCAGCGGGGAGGCGUUACCCGCAGAAGAAGCACCGGCUAACUCCGUGCCAGCAGCCGCGGUAAUAC
rnacentral:rRNA from 1 species